UGGGGCGUAGCCAAGUGGCAAGGCACGAGACUUUGACUCUCGCAUUUCGUGUGUUCGACCCACACCGUCCCAGCCA
rnacentral:tRNA from 1 species